rnacentral:rRNA from 1 species
UACAGGGGGUGCAAACGUUGCUCGGAAUCAUUGGGCGUAAAGCGCACGUAGGCGGUUCGUUAUGUCGGAUGUGAAAGCCCUUGGCUUAACCGAGGAAGUGCAUCCGAAACUGGCGAGCUAGAGUACUAAAGAGGAUCGCGGAAUUCCCGGUGUAGAGGUGAAAUUCGUAGAUAUCGGGAGGAACACCGGUGGCGAAGGCGGCUUUCUGGGUCUUACCUGACGCUGAGGAACGAAAGCCAGGGGAGCGAACGGG